AAACUAACAAGGAUUCCCCUAGUAACGGCGAGUGAACCGGGAAGAGCUCAAAUUUGAAAUCUGGCGUGCUCAGUGCGUCCGAGUUGUAAUCUAUAGAGGCGUUUUCCGUGCCGGACUGUGUCUAAGUCCCUUGGAACAGGGUAUCAAAGAGGGUGAUAAUCCCGUACUUGACACAAUGACCGGUGCUCUGUGAUACGUCUUCUACGAGUCGAGUUGUUUGGGAAUGCAGCUCAAAAUGGGUGGUGAGUUCCAUCUAAAGCUAAAUAUUGGCGAGAGACCGAUAGCGAACAAGUACCGUGAGGGAAAGAUGAAAAGCACUUUGGAAAGAGAGUUAAACAGUACGUGAAAUUGUUGAAAGGGAAACGAUUGAAGUCAGUCGUGACUGAGAGGCUCAGCCGGUUCUGCCGGUGUAUUCCCCUCAGUCGGGUCAACAUCAGUUUUGUUCGGUGGAUAAGGGCAGCUGGAAGGUGGCACCUCCGGGUGUGUUAUAGCCAGCUGUCGCAUACAUAGAAUGAGACUGAGGAAUGCAGCUCGCCUUUAUGGCCGGGGUUCGCCCACGUCCGAGCUUAGGAUGUUGACAUAAUGGCUUUAAACGAC
rnacentral:rRNA from 1 species